GAUGAACGCUGGCGGCGUGCCUAAUACAUGCAAGUCGAGCGAACAGAUGAGGAGCUUGAUCCUCUGACGUUAGCGGCGGACGGGUGAGUAACACGUGGAUAACCUACCUAUAAGACUGGGAUAACUUCGGGAAACCGGAGCUAAUACCGGAUAAUAUAUUGAACCGCAUGGUUCAAUAGUGAAAGACGGUUUUGCUGUCACUUAUAGAUGGAUCCGCGCCGCAUUAGCUAGUUGGUAAGGUAACGGCUUACCAAGGCAACGAUGCGUAGCCGACCUGAGAGGGUGAUCGGCCACACUGGAACUGAGACACGGUCCAGACUCCUACGGGAGGCAGCAGUAGGGAAUCUUCCGCAAUGGGCGAAAGCCUGACGGAGCAACGCCGCGUGAGUGAUGAAGGUCUUCGGAUCGUAAAACUCUGUUAUUAGGGAAGAACAAAUGUGUAAGUAACUAUGCACGUCUUGACGGUACCUAAUCAGAAAGCCACGGCUAACUACGUG
rnacentral:rRNA from 1 species